AGACAUAGAUUUCUCCUUUUAAAAAAGCACUAUCGGCAUGCACAAAAAAAUCUUUAAUCGUAUUUCUUGUGUCAUUAAUUGUUUGAUGUUCAGAUUGUUUUCCUCGCGGGCUGGCGCGCCUCAGAAAGUAAAGCUUGUUGACAGGGGUAAACGUUCGGCAAUAAUUUUCUGCCGCAUGCGGGUGUUGCAUAAAACGUGUUACGUUCCUUUAUCGACAGGUCAGGUCACCGCUCACCCGCCGACGAGAAAGCAACACUGACAUGCUAAAGCAAAAAAUAGAUGAAUAAGUUGAGUUGUGCAUAUGUAGCCUGACCGUCACAAAGUAUAUGGUGUCUGUACCAGUAAGAUGAUGGCCGGACUCUUUAAAAACGAGCUGACCUGCACAAUACAGGAUGGACUUAGCAAUGGCUGCUCCUGGCACAAAGCGGACAGUGAUCACCGUUCUUACGACUACUUUCUGACUUCCUUCGUGACUUGCCCUAAGCAUGUUGUAGUGCGAUACUUGUAAUGACAUUUGUAAUUACAAGAGGUGUAAGACAUGGGUAGCAUUAACCUGCGUAUUGACGAUGAACUUAAAGCGCGUUCUUACGCCGCGCUUGAAAAAAUGGGUGUAACUCCUUCUGAAGCGCUUCGUCUCAUGCUCGAGUAUAUCGCUGACAAUGAACGCUUGCCGUUCAAACAGACACUCCUGAGUGAUGAAGAUGCUGAACUUGUGGAGAUAGUGAAAGAACGGCUUCGUAAUCCUAAGCCAGUACGUGUGACGCUGGAUGAACUCUGAUGGCGUAUUUUCUGGAUUUUGACGAGCGGGCACUAAAGGAAUGGCGAAAGCUGGGCUCGACGGUACGUGAACAGUUGAAAAAGAAGCUGGUUGAAGUACUUGAGUCACCCCGGAUUGAAGCAAACAAGCUCCGUGGUAUGCCUGAUUGUUACAAGAUUAAGCUCCGGUCUUCAGGCUAUCGCCUUGUAUACCAGGUUAUAGACGAGAAAGUUGUCGUUUUCGUGAUUUCUGUUGGGAAAAGAGAACGCUCGGAAGUAUAUAGCGAGGCGGUCAAACGCAUUCUCUGAACCAAAGCAUGACAUCUCUGUUUCGCACCGAAGGUGACACUUCUGCUUUGCGUUGACAGGAGAAGCAGGCUAUGAAGCAGCAAAAGGCGAUGUUAAUCGCCCUGAUCGUCAUCUGUUUAACCGUCAUAGUGACGGCACUGGUAACGAGGAAAG
rnacentral:rRNA from 1 species